rnacentral:rRNA from 1 species
UACGUAGGGGGCAAGCGUUGUCCGGAAUCAUUGGGCGUAAAGAGCGUGUAGGCGGCUUGGUAAGUCCGCUGUGAAAGUCCAGGGCUCAACCCUGGAAUGCCGGUGGAAACUGUCAAGCUUGAGUCCGGAAGAGGCGAGUGGAAUUCCUGGUGUAGCGGUGAAAUGCGCAGAUAUCUGCAGGAACAUCCGAGGCGAAAGCGGCUCGCUGGAUCACAACUGACGCUGAGAGACGAAAGCUAGGGGAGCAAACAGG